rnacentral:rRNA from 1 species
CAUCAUUCAGUUGGGCACUCUAGCAAGACUGCCGGUGACAAACCGGAGGAAGGUGGGGAUGACGUCAAAUCAUCAUGCCCCUUAUGACCUGGGCUACACACGUGCUACAAUGGGAAGUACAACGAGUCGCGAAGUCGCGAGGCUAAGCUAAUCUCUUAAAGCUUCUCUCAGUUCGGAUUGCAGGCUGCAACUCGCCUGCAUGAAGCCGGAAUCGCUAGUAAUCGCGGAUCAGCACGCCGCGGUGAAUACGUUCCCGGGCCUUGUACACACCGCCCGUCACACCACGAGAGUUUGUAACACCCGAAGUCGGUGAGGUAACCUUUUGGAGCCAGCCGCCUAAGGUGGGAUAGAUGAUUGGGGUGAAGUCGUAACAAGGUAGCCGUAUCGGAAGGUGCGGCUGGAUCACCUCCUUUCUAAGGAA